rnacentral:rRNA from 1 species
GUGGGGAAUAUUGGACAAUGGGCGAAAGCCUGAUCCAGCCAUGCCGCGUGUGUGAAGAAGGUCUUCGGAUUGUAAAGCACUUUAAGUUGGGAGGAAGGGCAGUAAGUUAAUACCUUGCUGUUUUGACGUUACCGACAGAAUAAGCACCGGCUAACUCUGUGCCAGCAGCCGCGGUAAUACAGAGGGUGCAAGCGUUAAUCGGAAUUACUGGGCGUAAAGCGCGCGUAGGUGGUUUGUUAAGUUGGAUGUGAAAGCCCCGGGCUCAACCUGGGAACUGCAUCCAAAACUGGCAAGCUAGAGUACGGUAGAGGGUGGUGGAAUUUCCUGUGUAGCGGUGAAAUGCGUAGAUAUAGGAAGGAACACCAGUGGCGAAGGCGACCACCUGGACUGAUACUGACACUGAGGUGCGAAAGCGUGGGGAGCAA